rnacentral:rRNA from 1 species
GACGAACGCUGGCGGCGUGCUUAACACAUGCAAGUCGAACGGAAAGGCCCUGCUAUUGUGGGGUGCUCGAGUGGCGAACGGGUGCGUAACACGUGAGUAACCUGCCCUUGACUUUGGGAUAACUUCAGGAAACUGGGGCUAAUACCGGAUAGGAGCUCCUGCUGCAUGGUGGGGGUUGGAAAGUUUCGGCGGUUGGGGAUGGACUCGCGGCUUAUCAGCUUGUUGGUGGGGUAGUGGCUUACCAAGGCUUUGACGGGUAGCCGGCCUGGGAGGGUGACCGGCCACAUUGGGACUGAGAUACGGCCCAGACUCGUACGGGGGGCAGCAGUGGGGAAUAUUGCACAAUGGGCGGAAGCCUGAUGCAGCAACGCCGCGUGCGGGAUGACGGCCUUCGGGUUGUAAACCGCUUUCGCCUGUGACGAAGCGUUAGUGACGGUAAUGGGUAAAGAAGCACCGGCUAACUACGUG